AGUGAACGCUGACGGUAGGCCUAACACAUGCAAGUCGAACGGCAGCACAGUAAGAGCUUGCUCGUACGGGUGGCGAGUGGCGGACGGGUGAGGAAUACAUCGGAAUCUACUUUUUCGUGGGGGAUAACGUAGGGAAACUUACGCUAAUACCGCAUACGACCUACGGGUGAAAGAAGGGGAUCUUCGGACCUUGCGCGAUUGAAUGAGCCGAUGUCGGAUUAGCUAGUUGGCGGGGUAAAGGCCCACCAAGGCGACGAUCCGUAGCUGGUCUGAGAGGAUGAUCAGCCACACUGGAACUGAGACACGGUCCAGACUCCUACGGGAGGCAGCAGUGGGGAAUAUUGGACAAAGGGCGCAAGCCUGAUCCAGCCAUACCGCGUGGGUGAAGAAGGCCUUCGGGUUGUAAAGCCCUUUUGUUGGGAAAGAAAAGCAGCAGGUUAAUACCCCGCUGUUCUGACGGUACCCAAAGAAUAAGCACCGGCUAACUUCGUG
rnacentral:rRNA from 1 species